CCAGGAACCCAUCUUCCACCGGAUCCGGCCCUCGAUCUUGACGUGGACGAGGAGGAAGCCGGACGACUGAUCCUGGGAGAUGGCCUCGGCGAGGUGGGGCGCCACUGGGACGGAGACGGCGUAGAGGUACGGUGACCAGAGGUCGAUGUCGUUCUGGCCCUGGUAAAAGGGAGGGACGGUGGUGGCGGGGGUGAUCUGCUGGUACUUAUAGGAGGCGAAGACGUCGACGCGGUCGUAGUAGAUGCCGACGCGGGCGUUGGGGUUGUGGGUUGAGAUGGUUACCUGGAUGGUGGAGGAGAGGAGGUUGUCCGGGGAGGAGACGUUGAAGGCGUAGACGGAGGCGUCCUGGAGGUAGAACUUGGGCUUGCUGGGGCGGAGGGCGAGCCAGAUGAUGAGGAUGAUGAGGAGGUUCAGUAUGAUGAAGGCCAGGAUCCCGGCCAAGAUGCGGUAGACCUUGCCACGUCGUUUGCACCACCCGCCGUGCUGGCCGCAGUCGCUCGGCAAUGACAUUUGAGCUCGUGGGAGUGGGAGAGAUAGAGCAAGAGAAACUAAAUGCAGCAGGGGAGUUGGGGUGGGAACGGUGAUGCUUGGUCUAUAGAAGCUAGGUGUAUUUAUAAUGGUAUCUCGUUUCUACCAACCGCAAGCCUUCUCUUAGAAAGAGGGUGGUGGACCUGGUUAGCAGGUUGGAGGAUAUAAAAUAUUUUGGAUCGAGGGAUACAAGGGGAUGAUAAGUCUAUGGGGAUUGGAGGCUUUGAGGGAAGGCUGUGACCGCACGGCAAGCGCGGCAGCUCAACUUCGGGGACAAAAUAUAGGCUCUGAGCGCAAGAGGGUAGAAGAUUUUUAUUGCAAAGGUGAUAUCAUAUUAAAUUUAUGAUCAUUAAAAUAUAAAUAUUUUUAUAAAAUUAUGAUAAAUUUGAUAUGAUAUUAUCAUAGCAAUAAUUUUUUUUAUUAAAAAAAUAUUUUAAUAAAUAUUUUAAUUAAAUUAAUAAAAAAUAUCACAUCAAUAUUUUGAACUACAACUACUUCUGCAUAAAUCUUAGGUAAUUAUUAAAAUUUUUUAAUUUAAAAUAUUGAUAAAAUAUUUUUUUCAUCCAUAUUGUUUACCGUCGGUAUGAAUUAUUUUGAGACCUAUAUAAAGUGAUGAAUCAUGAAAUUUAGAGUGGAUGAUCCAACAGUCGAUCCGUGCGAAAGAAAUUGAAUCCUUCUCCUAUGCGAAUCAUGAAAUUUGGAGCGGAUGAUCCAACAGUCGACUCGUGCGAAGGAAAUUGAAUCCUUCUCCUACGUGAAAGAUGCAACCCUGCUCCCAAAAUAUAAUAUAAUGUAAGAAGAAGAAAGACUAGUUUGAAGAGAUAGCUCUACUUCGGGAAUGGGAACUAACUUGUUUAUGUAUUUAUUUACACAUGGUAUUGACUAGUUACAAAGUUAAUUAUACGGCAUGUCAAGGUCAACAAGUCAGAACGGUAUCUUCGAUCUCCCGCAUUGCACUCGGGCAUGCUCAUGCGAGAACGACUGGGUCUUUUGAUCACAGCCAUUGGAUCUUUCAUGGAUAGACUGACGUAGAUCGACGAGAGGCAUCAAAAGAUUUGGUCAGGAGUCACUAUCAGGAUCGUCAGCUGGCAAGCGAUGGCUUGCCUGUGGUCAAAAAAAGGUAAGCCUUAUUCAAUUUGCCCUCGAUUUUUAGGUGUCUUCGAAUAGCCUGAGAAGACCCAUCCACGUUGGUCGCUAUAAACGAAGUUUAGCAAUCAGGCUUGGGUUGUAUCUUUCGCAUCACAGAAUAAUUAAUCUUUCUUUAUGACAUCAAUCAUUCUAUUAUAUAUUAUACAUAUUAGAUAUAUAUCUUAAAAAUUAAUAUAUCUGACACAUUGUAAUAAUUCUAGAUCACAAUUUUGUACUUAAUAUAUUGAUAUGAUUAAUAAAAAGAGAAUUUCAUUUUCAUUCAAGUACGAUGUAUCCUUAAAUCAUCCAUGAAAUUUAUUUCGAUAUAUAUUCUCAAAAUAUUGAGAAUUAGAGACAUGUAUUUAAUUCUUAAAUAUUUUCGGUCAUAAGAUCAUCAUGAGGAUGGUGAUAAAUCCAGAUAGACUGGUGCACAAAUCGCAUCCCUCGGGAUAGAUGAGUCUCUGAUCUACUGUGUAGAAACAUAAGACGAUGAGUGCGGAUGGUUGUUAGAGAACAACUAGUACUGAGCGUGACCAUACGAGAGAUCACUUGGAUUUCUAUUCAAUCGUCAGUGAUUGUCUCGAUGCUGUAGUUGUGUGACUGGUCCUUUGAUUUGAGAUAGUAUUGCUGCUCGCAGUGAAGCUACUGAAGUUUGACUGACACAUAAACAUGGAUCUCAAUGAGCUAUUGUAGUAGAUGUUGGCGACAGUUGGUUCUCUGUAGGACUGGAGUGUACAUCAAGAUAGGAUCUAUCGACCUUGAUAGAGAGGAGUGUCCUAUAAAAUUUGAAAGGCUAAAUCCAAGAAUCUAUGGCCAUAGUAGUGUGAUUGAUGAAAAAGAGUUUUCAUAGAAGUCACAACUGGAUUUGAGCUAAUCGAAUCUAUCACAUGACUGAUGUUGAGGUUUGACGAUUUAUCCGUGACCUGCCAUCUAGUCGGGAUUCACAAUAGAGGGAUUGAAUCACACGUUAACUAUACCUAGAUGUUCAUUUCAGUUUUACUGGAUUGCCACUACAUACUGCUAGGUGUCACUGGUGGAUUGUGAGAGCUCAUUAGAAUCGUUCUGAAUCGACAAUCCUUGUCGAGUUAAAGUGGAAUUGUUCCGACCCAUUGAAAAGAAUUUUAAUGAUACAAUGAUAGAGAUCAUUGUNNNNNNNNNNNNNNNNNNNNCGUAUCUAUUGAUUAAAGAACUUUUUGUUCUCUUAUGGGGCAUCUUUUGGGUGUGUUUUGGGGUGUCUAAUUAUGGGUGCAAGGGCUCUAAUUGUUGGCACCUAAAAAGUCUCCUAAAGUAAGUUGGAUAAGUUAAGUUAAUAAAAAAUCCAAUGCAAGUAAGAUUUGUAUUAUGUGAUUGAAUAGAAUUCAAUCCUUGUGUCUAUUCAAAGGGACCUCCCCUAAAUUUUCUAGAGCAUCCAAACCAGCAGCCCCUCAUGCCCCAAGGCUCUCCCCAUGCCCUCUCUUCCUCUCCCUUUCUCUUCUCUUGGGCGUUCUACACGCCCAUUUCUUAGGACGCGAGUCCCAAGGAGUUCCAUGCCUAAGAUGUUGGGCGUCCCAUAAUUUGCUGGUUGCUGAUGUUUUAUAGCAGCACAAAGCAAGGAGAAACUCUAGAGAAAAUGAGAAGAAGAAGAUCAAGAAGAAAGAUCAAACAUUGAUCGCGAUCCAGGCUUCAUUCAGAUUCAGCAGACUGAAUUUUAGAGAACCAAAAGUCAAAUUAAAGAGGAUUGUUACAGACUGAUCCCAAGUGGAUACUCGUAGAGACCGGACGCUUGUGUAGUUAAGAGAGAACCUCUUCUCUUUCAGAUCCAGAUUCGAAGAAAAGGAUUGCGAAACAGAUAUGUGAUUUAAUCAUAAUCUGAAUUUCAGCAUAUAUCAAUUUCAACAUAUGAGAUAGAUCCAUAUAGUUUUAUAUUUUCAUGCAUGCAUAAUUCAGAUUAAAUAUGUUUUAAUCUUAUUCUCCAUUGCAGUGUCUAGAAAAUAAAAUUUUUGAAAUACAUAUGCAUGCACCAAAUCUCGAAUUCUAAUAGUACAACUCUCAGAGCACACCAAACUCUCUCUUUUAUUGCGUAGAUAUUUUAAGGAAAGGAGAGGGUGAGAGAGAAAGAGAGAGGGAGAGAGAUUGGGCUUGGCAAGGGGAGGGAGCUAAGGUGGUUUGUCUACAGAGAGGUUUAGGGAAUGGGGAGGGUGAAGGAGGUUUGGGAAGGGUAGGACGCUAAGGUGAUUUGUCUAUAGAGAUUAAAGAGUGGUUUAGGGAAAGGGAAGGGUGAGUGUUAGAAAGUAAGAGAAAUUCUUUAUGCAUCGUAGAUGGUGUAGAAAAUCUGACGUGGAGUGCACCACUUUAUAUGAUUGAUCUACAUAGCCAUCACUUUUCAAUACGCAUUUCAUGCCUACAGUUCUAUUUUUUCGUUUAAAAAUUUUGCAUAACAAAAAUAUCUCUAUUUUUUGAAAAAAUUAUGAUAUUCUGUGAUAUAUUAUGACUUUCAUCAUGUAGGAUGCCAUAAUAUGGUUCGAAAAAUUAUAUCAUCCUAUAUUCUUAUGGUAUAUUAUGACAUCCUACGUCAAAUCAUGACUUUCUGCAAGCAUGCAGGAUGUCAUAAUAUGGUCUAAGAUAUCAUAAUAUAAAAAAAAUAUUUUUAUCCAAUCACUUUUUAAUAUGCACUUAAUGUCUAUAGUUUUGUUUUUUUAUUUAAAAAUUUUGAAUAUGAAAAUACCCCUGCUCUUCGAAAAAAAUUAUGACAUCCUAUAGCAUAUUAUAACAUUCUACAUCAAAAUUAUGACUUCCUGCACGUAGGAUGUCAUAAUAUGGAUAUAAGAUGUCAUAUUUUUUUCAAAGAGCAAGGAUAUUUUCGUUAUUCAAAAUUUUCAAACUAAAAAGUGAAACUACAUGCAUUAAAUGUAUGUUGAAAAAUGAUGGCUAUAUAGACUAAUCACAUAAAGCGAUGCACUCCACGUCAGAUUUUCUUCACCGCCUAUGAUGCAUAAAGAAUUUUGCUAGAAAGUAAUCCACUUCCUUUUGGGCAGCCCACAUCGGCUAUGGUAGAACAGCCCACAUGGGUUUAAGUGACAAAAGCUUACAUGGGCCAAGAUUCUAAAUAGUUUCAAAGAAAUAUCUGUAAAAUAUCUACAUCAUAAAUAUCUGGACUUAUCUAGAGAAUCUUGAAUUUAGAAUCUUCUUGAACCUCUAUAAAUAAGAGGGGUCCUUCCCAUUUGUAAUCAAGAAGUUUGAAAGAAAAUAAUAAAAAUUCAAGUUCUCUUUUACUAUUCUUUCCCUUUUUCCUUCUCUCCACAACCAUCCUUACAAACUUUUCUCUAUUUUGCUGCAAAACAACUAAUCUUUUGCCUCAAUCCAAGAUCUCCUACUUCCAUAUCAACUAUCUAGCUCCUACAAAUUAGUAUCAAAGUAGUGUUACGAUAGCGGACGACUAACAAAUGGCUAGCUCUGCUAUUUCAGCCUUUUUAAUGAUUGGCUUUGCCACCUCCAUAUCAAUGGUUGGCUCUACCGCCUCUAUGCAAUCUAUGGCUCGCUUUGCUGUCCACAUGCAAUCCUCUCUUCAUGAUUUUUGGAAAAUUAAAAUGAGAACUAUGCUCUAAUCAUAGAGGCUAUGGUCAAUUGUUGAUGCGGGUUACACAAAAUCAGAAAAUGAGAGCCAACUCUUAAAUGAAGCAAAAGAGAAUCUUGAAGUCUACAGAAUAAGGGAUGCAAGAGCACUCUACCUCAUUCAGUAAGGGGUAGCAGAAAUAAUAUGUCCAAGGAUCAUGGGAGCGAGCAAAGCAAAGGAGGUUUAGAACAUCUUAAAGCAGGAGUCUGAAGGUGACAACAAGGUGAAAAUUAUUAAACUACAAUCUCUUAGAAGAGAGAUAACAAAUUUAAGAAUGAGAGAAGGAAAAAUCAUGAAAGAUUAUUUUUCUAAAGCGACAGAUAUAGUGAAUUAAAUGAAGUUAUAUGGAGAAAACAUAACAGAUCAAAGGAUAGUAGAGAAAAUAUUAAUAAGCUUACUAGAAAAAUAUGAUUAUAUAGUUGCAGCUAUAAAGAAGUCAAAGUAUUUAUCAAAAUUAUCAGUACAAGAAUUAAUGGGCUCUUUGCUAUCCCAUGAACAAAGAAAGUUAAGACAUAUAGAGUAGUCUUCUAUAAAAGGUACAUUUUAAUCAAAGUUAAAUUUCAGAUCUUAAAAAAGUUUUUCAGAAAAAAAAACUGUAGGAUGCUUACAAAGGAGAGAAAUUAUUUUAUUCAUGUCAAGCAGCCUCACAUAAUAAAGAUAAUAUUUGGUAUCUUGAUAGUGGCUAUAGUAAUCAUAUGAGUGGAAAUGAAAGAAUAUUUCAGGACAUGAAUACUACAGUGACAUCAGAAGUAAGAAUGGAAAAUGGGGCAAUUGUACAAGCUAAAGAAAAAGGUAUCAUAGUAGUAGAAACAAAGAAAAAAGUAAACUAUAUCAAUGAUGUGCUAUUGGUUACUGAUUUAGAGCAAAAUUUGGUAAGUGUGGUGCAAUUGGUACAAAAUGGAUAUUAUGUUCAUUUUGAAGAUGGUGCUUAUAAAAUUUAUGAUAAUAAAAAAAAAUUAAUUAAUUACAAAGAUAAGGAUGGAAAGAAAUAAAAAUUUUCCUAUUGAGUUUUAGUAUCCUCCACAUAUUGCAUUAAAAACAAAAGUAAUUAAUAGAAAAAACAUGGAUAUAGCAUAAAAGAUUUUGCCAUUUAAAUUUUUGGGGCCUCAAAUCAUUAAAAUAAAAAGAAAUGGUGCAUGGCUUACCAAAUACUUCUACCAACAUAGAUACUUAUUAAGGGUGCAUUUUAGGAAAGCAUCAUCGUGCUCCAUUCAAAGGCAAAGCUUGGAGAGCUAAGGCACCACUGGAGCUUGUACACACAGAUAUAUGUGGAAAGAUAUAAACUCUAUUUUUAAAAAAAUAUAAGUAUUUUAUUAUUUUCAUUGAUGAUUAUACUAGAAUGAUCUGGAUAUAUUUUUUCAAGAAAAAAUCAGAAGCAUUUGAAACAUUCAAAAAUUUUAAGGCUUUUGUGGAAAAGCAAAGCAGACAUAUGCUCAAAGUUCUAAAAAGUGAUAGAGGAAAAGCGUAUACCUCCAAGAAUUUUCAUAAAUUCUGUAAAGAUGAGGACAUCCAUAGAUAGCUAACAGCAUCAUACAGUCUGCAGUAAAAUAGCAUUACUGAAAGAAAGAAUAGGACGAUUGUUGAGAUGGCCAGGUCUAUGCUAAAGGAGAAGGGACUGCUUAAUACAUUCUGGACAGAAAUAGUCAACACCACCGUUUAUAUCCUUAACAGGUGCCCAACUAAAGUAAUGCAAAAUAAGAUGCCAAUUAAAGCAUGGAGUGGAGAAAACCCUUGGCAAGUCAUUCAAAAAUUUUUGGAUGUAUUUGCUAUGCACAUGUCUUUAAUAAAAGAAGAACAAAAUUUGAUGAUAAAAAUGAAAAAUAUAUUUUUGUUGGAUAUGGUACUAAUACCAAUGGCUAUAAACUUUAUAACAUCAAGACUAAGAAAUUGAUAAUCAGUAGAAAUAUUAUUUUCAAUGAAAAACUCUCUUAGGAUUGGAAUGAAGAAAAAGUGCAGGAGACCCCAAUAAUAAUUUUUUAAGUGCAACCACAAUCAACACUAGCUUAUGAAGAAGAGAAGGAGACUAAGUUAGAAGAGACAAUAAGUCUAGGAGAGCAACCAUCCUCACCAAAAUCUCCUCCAAGGUGGGUAAGAUCUUUAAGAAAAAUUUAUGAAAGAUGCAAUUUUACCUUACUUGAACUGAAAAAUUUCGAAGAAGCAGCAAAAGAAGAAGUUUGGAUUAAUGCUAUAGAGGAAGAAAUCAAGAUGAUAGAAAAAAUAAAACAUGAGAGCUGAUAGAUCGACUCAAAGAUCGAGACGUCAUUGGAGUUAAAUGGAUCUACAGGACUAAAACUAAUCCAAAUGGGUCAAUAUAAAAGCAUAAAGCAAGAUUGGUUGUAAAGGCUUUACACAAAAAUCAUGCAUUGACUUCUAUGAAACUUUUGCUCUUGUCACAAAAUUAGAAACUAUCAAAAUAUUUAUUGCCCUAGCUACACAAAAGAAAUAAAAUAUUUAUCAGUUGGAUGUUAAAUUUGUAUUUUUGAAUGGAGUCCUAAAAGAAGAAAUAUAUGUUGAGCAACCAGAAAGAUUCUUAGUGCCAGGGGGAGCAGACAAAGUAUAUAAAUUAAAAAAAACUCUAUAUAGAUUAAAACAAGCUACCAAGGGUCUAGUACAGUGAAAUAGAUAAAUAUUUCACUAAAUAUAAUUUUAGAAGGAGGCAAAGUGAGCCCACUUUAUAUAUUAAAACAGAAGACUCAGAUAUAUUAAUAGUUUCAUUAUAUGUUGAUGACUUAAUUUACAUGAGAAAUAAUGAGAAGAUGGUUGAAAAAUUUAAGAAAAACAUGAUGAAGACUUAUAAGACGAGUGACUUGGGCUUAUUACAUUACUUCCUUGGUAUUGAAGUGGACCAAUAAGAAGGCAUAUUUAUAUGCCAAAAAAAAGUAUAUAAAAAAUAUACUUAGAAAAUAUAGAAUGAAAGAGUACAAAAUUGUUUCUAUACCAUUAAUGCCUUAUGAAAAAUUGAAGAAAGAAAAUGGUUCAAAGUUAGUAGAUGCACGAUCCUACAGAAGCUUGAUUAGAAGUCUUCUAUGUCUCACUGCAACAAGACUAAAUAUUAUUUAUGCUUCUAGUUUAUUAUCAAGAUAUAUGCAAAGUCCUUGUCAACUUUACUUCAGUGCUGUCAAAAGAAUAUUAAGAUAUUUGCAAGGUACCAAGGACUAUGGCAUCUAUUACAUAGCAGUAGAAGUUAGCAAGCAGAUAGGAUACACGGAUAAUGAUUGGGCCGGAUGUCAAGAUGACAUGAAAAGUACUUCAGGCUAUACAUUUUCUUUGGGAUCUGGAUUAUGUUUGUAGGCUUUUAAGAAGCAGAAGGUCAUGGCACUUUCUUCAGCAAAAGCAGAAUUUAUUACAGCAGCAAAGGGUGCAACCAAGUAAUUUGGAUACAAAGAGUUCUUGAAGAUAUUGGAAAGCAUCAAGAAGGGCCAACUACCAUCUAUUAUGACAGCAAAUCAGCAAUAGCCAUGAGCAAGAAUUCAGUUUGUCAUGACAGAACAAAGUAUAUUGCCAUCAAGUACCGCUUCAUUCUAGAAGCAGUUGAAGAUGGGGAGAUCGAGCUUCAGCACAUGAACACCUAAGAGCAGCUCGCGCACAUCUUCACCAAAGCUCUUUCUAAAAAAAGGUUUUUGUACUUAAGAACAAAAAUAAGAGUUGUAAAACGAAGUGAAUUAAAGUGGAGUGUUAGAAAGUAAUCCACUUCCUUUUGAGCAGCUCACAUGGGCUAUAGUAGAAAAGCCCACAUGAGCUUAAGUGGCAAAAGCUCACAUGGGCCAAGAUUCUAGAUAGUUUCAAAGAAAUACUAAGCAUUAUAAAAUAUCUAUACCAUAAUAUCUAGACUUAUCUAGGGAAUCUUGUAUCUAAAAUCUUCUUGGACUUCUAUAAAUAGGAGGGCUCCUUUCCAUUUGUAAUCAAGAAGUUUGAGAGAAAGUAAUAGAAGUCCAAGUUCUCUUUUACUAUUCUUCCACAUUCUCCUUCUCUUCACAAUCAUCCCUACAAACUUUUCUCCACUUUACUACAAAACAACUAAUCCUUUGCCCCAAUCCAAGAUCUUCUACUUCUAUAUCAAUUAUCUGUCUCUUACAGUGAGGAAGCUUCGAAUCAAGUUCGAAGCUUUUGUUGUGGAAAUGGGCCAAAGCAUGUGGAUAAUGCAUUAAGACUCAGCCCAAUGCUUGAUCUUGUCCACAUAUAGAAAAUACUCGUCGCGAGUUUUCACAAAAAUGAAAUAAAAUAGAAUAAAAUAAAAUAAAUUAAAAUACAGUAAGAAACAGGUAAAAGGAAAAGAAUGAGUUUAGGUUGGAACUGCACUGAUUUGGUUGGUUCCAUUUCUGACUCACUUGGGUAUCCAAACUUGCGUAAUCCCAAGAUGCGUUAUUAUUUACCAAGGCCCUAUCCAAUAUUGGAAGUAACUAGUUUUGUUCAUACAACUGUAAAAGUUUGCUUUAUUUCUUUAGGCAUGGUGUUGACAUUUGCGAGUGAUAUGGAGGUUUUAACCUCUUGCUUCUCCUCUAAACUAGGUAAGUUGAUCGGUGUCCCAUUAGCACUUUAAAGAGAUGCUUCUGAUAAAAAUCAUAUCUUGAAGAUCUCGGUAUCCAAUUAAGCAGAUAUGAGUAGCUAUGAUGAAAAUCUCGGUAUUCAAUUAAGCAGAUAUGGGCAGUCAUAAUGAAGAUUAUAUGUUGAUUCUCUUGACAUCAUAUUAGGCAAACAUGGGUAGCUAUACAAUCUCAUAUGAUGGAAAUCAUUCUUUGAUUUUUCUGGCCAAUCAUGCAACUAGAAUUAGCAGAUAGGACCAAUCCCAUGAGAAUGAAACCAUUCCUGAUUUUGCUAACUAUGUAUAUAUUUGUAAAGAUUUUCAUUAUAUGGAUAAUAUCAUUCCUUUGAUGUAAAGGCAUUGAUUCCUUUGAUGUAGGGAUUUUAACCCCAGCAGUUGUAUAUAAGCAUGCAAGUUAUUAUAGCUAAUGAAAUUAAGCCUUUUGGGCACAAAUUCCUUCCUCAAUAAUUUUGUCUAUAAAUUUCUAUCUUAACAUGGUAUUAGAGCCAGGUUGCAAUCUUGGGACCUAUAGGUUACGGGCCCACCAUGCUUCCACUGUGCAAUUUUGAUCAUCUUCGUGUAUUUGGUUGCUUAUGUUAUGCACAUAACUAUGCAAGGUCAUGCACUAAAUUUGAUUUUAGAGCCAUUCGAUGUAUAUUUCUUGGUUACCCAUAUGGACAAAAAGGAUAUCAUGUUUAUGAUCUUGAAAGUCACAAUAUCUUUGUCUCGUGAGAUAUAGUGUUUUAUGAACAUAUUUUUUCAUAUUGCUCUUCUUCCAUAGUCGAGUCAGUGUGCAAUAGCCAAAGAACCAAUUCGAUUAUUGCAUUAUCCAUUCUUGAUGAUCCACCAUCGAGCAUACCUACUGUCAAUCUCACAUUCGAACCUUCUACAUAUUCAAAUAAUUCAUCUGAAAUGCUUCCAACAGAGCCUCCUCCUAUUGAGCAGGAUCAAAUUUCUGAACUACAGUCCAUUAGAUCUAUUCGAACUCGACAAACACCUAUCCAUCGGAAAGAUUAUAUCUUUCACUUGCUACAUUCACUUGAUCCCUCACAGUCUGCCUCUCCAACAGCUCCUUCAGGUACUCUUUAUCCUCUCUCAAAUUUUAUUAUUAUGAUAAUUUUUUUCUUCGACAUUUAGCUUUCUUGGUGGCCAUCAAUUCUACUAAUGAGCCAAAGCAUUUUUCAUAGGCCAUUAAAAAUUCAAAGUGGCGUGAGGCUAUGGCAGCAAAGAUUGCAGCAUUAGAAAAAAAUCAGACAUAGACUUUGGUUGAUUUACUGUCUGAAAAGAGAGCCAUUGAUUCUAAAUAGGUGUAUCAUAUCAAGUAUAAAGCAGUUGGGUCAAUUGAUCACUAUAAGGCGUGAUCGGUUGCUAAAGGUUAUACCCAAGUUGAAGGUCUUGACUACCAUGAGAUGUUUGCACCUAUGGCCAAAUUAGUUAUUAUACAUUGUUUGUUGGCAGUAGCAGCUGUUCGUAAAUGAGAACUAUACCAACUGGACGUCAAUAACGCCUUCUUGCAAAGUCAUUUGCGUGAAGAGAUUUUCAUGUGCAUUCCUCAAGGUUUUACCCGCUCAGGUGAUACAUGUGUUUGCAAAUUGAACAAGUCUUUAAAUUGUAUAGAUUCAAACAAACAUCUCGUAAUGGGUUUGAAAAAUCCACCUCCUCUAUUGUCUAGUUAGAUUUUAAGUAGUCCAAGGCCGAUUACUCCUUGUUCACUCAUGCUCAUGGUGAAAGUAUAGUUCUCAUCUUAAUCUAUGUGGAUGAUAUCAUUCUUGUCGGAAAUGAUUCCAUUUGUAUCUCUUCUAUUAAGACUUAUCUGUUCUCACAGUUUCAUAUCAAAGAUCUAGGCCCAUUAAAAUAUUUUUUGGGAAUUAAAGUUGCCAGAUCGUCGGAUGGUAUUGUGCUCAAGCAAAGAAAAUAUGCACUUGACAUUCUCUUUGAGACGGGCAUGCUAGGAGUCAAGCCAUGUGCAUUUCCAAUGGAACAACAUCAUUCUUUAUCCAGUGCUAUUAGUCCAAAGGUGGUUGAUCCUUCUCUAUACAGGCGCUUAACUGGCAAGCUAAUCUACUUGAUAAUUACUCGUCCAGAUCUAUGUUAUUCGGUUCAUGUUCUUAGUGAAUUCAUGCAUAAUCCCCUUCAGCCACACCUUGAUGCUGCCGUGUGAAUUCUUCGCUAUCUCAAAACGGCAUCAGAACAAGAUAUAUUUCUUUCUGCAUCUAGUGAAUUAUCCUUAGUCGCUUUUUAUGACUCUGAUUGGGUGAGUUAUCCUACUAUCCAUCGCUCCACCACUUGGGUAUUUUUCACUUUUCUGAAAAACUAAGAAGCAAAGUACAAUCUCAUAUUCUUCCACUAAAACUGAAUAUAGAGCUAUGUCUACUGCUACUAGUGAGCUUCUUUAGCUUCAAGCUUUUCUUUUUGAUUUGUAUGUUUCUCUUACACAUCCCAUGCAGCUUUAUUGUGACAACCAAGUAGCUCUCCACAUUGUUUCCAAUCCGAUUUUUCAUAAACGAACCAAGUAUAUUGAAAUUGACUGCCAUUUUGUCCAUGAACGGAUCCAAUCCAAUGAACUCAUUACUUACUACAUUCCUACCAAACAACAACUAGCAGAUAUCUUUACCAAGGUGCUUGGAAAGGAUCGAUUUCAUCAUCUCUUAUCCAAAUUGGGCAUUUUUUAUCUCCAUGCUCCAACUUGAGAGGGAGCGAUGAAAAUCAUAUCUUGAAGAUCUUAGUAUCCAAUUAAACAGAUAUGGACAACUAUCAUGAAGAUCUCGAUAUCCAAAUAAGCAAAUAUGGGUAGCUAUAAUGAAGAUCAUAUAUUGAUUCUCUCGACAUCAUAUUAGGCAAAUAUGGGUAGCUAUACAAUCUUAUAUGGUGAAAAUUAUUUUUUGAUUUUUUUGGCCAACCAUGCAACCAGAUUUAGCAGAUAGCACCAUUCCAUGAGAAUGAAAUCGUUCCUAAUUUUGCUAACUAUGUACAUUUGUGAAGAUUUUCAUUAUGUGGAUCAUAUUAUUUUUUUGAUGUAAAGAUAUUGAUUCCUUUGAUGUAGGGAUUUUGAUCCUAUAAGAUGUAUAUAUAAGCAUGCUAUCAUAGCUAAUGAAAUUAAGUCCUUUGGCCAUAAAUUUUUUCAAUAACUUUGCCCAUAGAUUUCUUUCUUAAUAGCUUUCGGGUAUGAUAUAUAGUGGCCUGGCAUGACAUAAGUGGCAUUGCUGGGCUUUUGCCUUUUUAUAUCCUCAGAAUAUAAGGCCCCAACAAGUAGUCGUGUGAUUGCCUUCUGAUAAGCAAAAGGGAUCAUAUGUGUUAGAUGUGGCCCUAGAAGUCAAUUAUUAGCUGAUAUAUUUAUAUUUUUAGGAUCUGUGCUUAUACUUGUAAAACUUUAUUAUUAAUAAAAGGGUAAUUUCAUUUUCAAUCAUAUUUAUGUAUCCAUGAUUUAUCUUAAAAAUUAACAAAAAUAAUUUUAUAUAUUCUCAAGAUGUUAAAAAUUUAAAACAUACAUUAUUAGUGGUUAGUUUUUAAAUACUCUCAAUCAUAGAAUCGUCACGGAGAAUAGUGAUCAAUUAAUUUAAGAUCAGUGUACAGAUCAUUUUUCUUUCAAGCAGAUGAGUCUUGAGUCUAUGGUAUGGUGAUACUAGGAUAAGAGUACAGGUAGUUGUUAGAGAAUAACUUAUACUGAGCGUGACCAACAUAAAAAAUCUCUUGAAUGUCUAUUCAUUCGUCAGUAUUUUUUUCAAUGCUGCAAUGGUGUGAGUGGUUCUUUGACCUACGGUGUCAUCAGCUAUUCACAGCGAGGCUACUGAGUUUGACUGCAUAUUUUCUUGAUUCCUAGCCAUUCGGAUCCAUACUAUGUAUAUUAGCUACAGUAGGUUCAUGUUCGUUAUUAGAAUAGGAUGCAUCUAGAUGGAAUCUAUCAAUCUUGGUAGAAAAGGAGUGGUCCUAUACGAUUAGCAAGACUGAGUUCAAAAAGUCUUCGAUCGAAGCAAGUGUGAAUACUAAAAAAAAUUUUUCAUGAGAUUCACAAGUGAACUCGAGUUGAGCUAAUCUAGUAUAUGACUAAUGAUGGAGUUUGACGAGUUCUCUAUGACCUCCAUCAAGUCGGAGACUCAUGAUAGAGGGAUUGAAUCACACGAUAAUUGUACCUAAAAAUUUUAAUUUUUUUGUUCUACUAGAUUGUCACUAUAUGCUACUAGGUGUCAUAAGUAGAUUGUGAAAACUCACUAGAAUUAUUAUCGGAUCAACGAUCUUUGUUGGAUUGAGCUGGAAUUGCUCUGGUCUAUCGAAAAGAGUUUCGAUGAUACUAUGAUAGAGAUCACGGUAUGUCUUACUACUAGAUAGAAUAAAAUCUGAGGGGUCACACAUAAAAAAAAUUUGACCUGAUCAACAGUUUGGAUUAAAUUUGAAUUAUCAAUUUGAUUAAUAGUUUGAAUUUAAAAACUACUAAUUUGUAAGUAUUAUAGAUUCAAUAACUGCUAAUUGUUAGUAUUGAAACUUAAUUAUAAAUAUUAUAAUUUAAUUAAAAUUGAUUAAAUUAUAAAUUAAAUUUUAAUUAAUUUUAUUUUAAUUUAAUUUGAUUUAAUUUAAUGCUAAUUAGAUUUAAUUAUUCAAAUUAGAUUUAGAUUUCAAUUCUGAUUGGAUCAAGUUUGACAGCCUUUCGAAUUUGGUUCGAUUCGGACUCAACUUGGACUCGAUUUAGAUCCAAUUUAAAUCAAAUUGAUUCUGACCCUUAGAGCCCAGGUUCUCUGGGCAUCUUUCUCUAUUUGAUCAAUUAGAAAUAGGAUGGGGUGAUGAAAAUUCUCACUGAUUUUCUUUGGCAUGCAUGAAAGGGUGUGGAGAGGUGGUUUCUUGAUGUUUCUUGGUUAGUUAGGACUCUUAUCUAGAUAAGAGAUAAAGCUUAACUAACCCAUCUAAUCUCUGUCUAAUUUUUGGCAUAGAAUAUUAAAAGUUUUGUGCGAUAAAAUAGGUUAGUCUUUGCAUGAGGCAGCGAUCCCUUCUUUGUGUGCACCAAUAACUACCUCACGCCCCCUUCUUCCUCUACGCCAACCACCUAUCAUCCCUUCUCUUCUGCACCCCUAUUCCACAUCAGAUAGAGAUCUGAAAGAGAGCCUCUGAGAGAGAGAAAGAAAAUCAAGAUAAAAUUUUUUGAUUUUUCUUGGUGGUUAGGAUUAAUCCCUAUGAUCCUAUAUAGGGCUGCUUCAAGUGAUAUCAAGUAAAGUGACCUGGUUCAAGUCAAAGAACGAAACCUACAAGAUAGCUAGCACCUCGAGAGUUUUGAAGUUCUGAUCGAGACAUCUUUAUGUGGAUACCAGUAGAGUUCGGGUGCUUGCAUGGCUACGACAGGAAUUCAAAACAUCCGCAUGAUCCGAUCCGAGGAAGGAGGAGAGAAAAGUGAUUAGGUAUACCAUCUUCUUGCUAUUUAUGAUUUCAGAUCUGUAUUCAUAAAUUUAUUUAUAUAUGUUAGACGAUCCUAGAGUUGAUUAUGAUUUAGAUUCAGCAUGCUUAGAUCAAAUUAAAAUUUUUAAAAUCUGCUUCCGCUAUGGUACUGUAACCAUAAUGAUCUAUGCAUGCGAAUCAACCUGUUUUCUAUUAGUGGUAUCAGAGCCACGUCGUUCUAGCAUAUUUUAAAUAAAUUUUAGAUCUAAAAUUGCAUUCAUAUGGUCUGAUUUAUAGUUUAUAUAUUUGAUAUGUGAAAAAAAGUCUAGUCUGAAUUUAAUAGAUUACAUAUUAGAUAUGUUAGAUUAAAUUCCUAUUAGCCUAAUACUUAGAUUGGGUGCAUCACCAUGGCUGUCUAGUAAUAAGAGGAAGCAGGGGUUAAAGCUUCUCACUUGUCCAAUUGAUGGGUUCUCUUAUGACGUAUAGGGAUGCUAUUUGUAAUGAUCUUCCAUGAAGAAGAACCAUGAUCUAAAGAUCCUAGAUAUAUAUGAUACAAGUUUUAGAUCUAGGUUUUAUUUUCAUGCAUAUAUUAGAUACAUGUUUUUGAGUAAUUUUAGAUUGUAAAAUUAUAUAUGUGAUAUGUAGUUUGUUGACACAUGAUCUAAAAUUUAAUUUUUGCAAAAUCUUAGAUCUGAAACCCUAGGAUCUAAUUUGUAUGAAAACCUAAAUUUGUGACUGGCUUGCCUGUCGAGUCAGCUCGGAUUCAGAUCGAGUUGACUCGAGUCCUUAUCAAGUCGACUCAUCCUUGUUAGAGUCAAUUCGAGAUCCUGGUGAGUCGGCUCAUUUGCAUAUGAGUCAACUCAAUCUUACAGGCAUGAGCUUACAGUUUUUGUUUGUCACAGACGAGUCGACCCAAGUUUCAGGGCGAAUCGAUCUGAGUCUGUUGACAGCAAAGUUGCAUGUGAUGCAAUCUAAAUUAAUUUAGAUUAGAAAUUAAUUUGAUAUCUAAAAUAAAUCUAUGUUCAUAAUGCACUUAAUUAAGAAUUAAGACUUGAAAUUAAAAGAUCUAAAGUUUAAAUUUAAGAUCUAAAUUUUAAUUACAUAAAACAUGGGGUUAAGGGUAUAGGUAGCUCAAUUAGGUCUAGUUUGAGCAGCUGAUCAAAUCGAAUCAAAUAUUGAUUAGGAGUAGGUCAAAUAUGCUCAUGACCAAUUCAAUUAGUUGUAGUUUGGUCGAAUCGAUUAAUAGCCAUAUGUUACCGAUUAACUUAAAAUCUAGUUUGGCUCAGUGGAUCGAGCCCGGAUUAAUAGGCAAAUCUAAUCGAUUCUAAUCAACCAAUUUGGUGUCUAUAACAAAUACAUAGAUUGUGGUUAUUUAAUUAAUUUUGUUAUCUGAUCUGACCAAUUCGUUAGUGUCUAAAAAAAGUAAUGGGAGACCCCCACACAUCUUAACGUACUUGGCUAUUUUGGAAGAUUAUAUUUCGUAUUAGGCUACUUGUUGACUCGAGCUAGUCUAUAUCACUAGGUUAAUCAUAACCGUUAUAACUAAUUAAGGAAGAGACCUAGACCUAAAUCUUCUCAAUCAAAUAUUAAGUCUAGCGAUUUUCCACCAUUGUAGAGAUGCGGGUGCCUUUCUGGAGUUCGUCAUUCUCAGCUGGUCACAGUGGUUCGAUUGUAUCGAAAAGAUAAAAUCACUCUAUGACAUUGGAUGCUCCACGGUAAAGAUAGGGUUGGAUCCAAUAACUAUUAGGUGAGGGAUCCAAUGAUGGCUUUGCAUUCGUUGGUGUAUGGUGGGUCUAACUUAGUUAACAAAUGUGCUAAUAACUGUCAGGUGUGGCUACAGAACAUAGAGACCGAAUCUACUGUAUUUUGCUUAGUGAAGCAAUGGACAAUGUAUUGUCCACUCAUUAGUCAUGCGUCACCAAUAACUGUUAAGUGAGAUGCACAUGGAUCAGUGGAAACGUAGUAUCCAUUAAAAACUAAUUGUGUAUAGAUUUCUGUUUCUCCAUCCAAGAAGUAUAAAAGAUUCAUAGAAAUAGUGGAAAUCUUGUUUGUUUAUUAAAGUCCCUAUAACAAAUAUUUACAAGUAUAAAUAUCUAAUUAAAAAUUAUUUUCUCUCAGCAGUUAAUUAACCAUGUCGAGUUCAAAUCCUCUAGCUUGAAUCUUUGACAUCAAUAGGUUGACCGAAUUGAACUACAAAGACUGGUUUCAGAACUUGAAAAUUAUUCUCAGCUUUGAGAAAUUGAUCCAUAUCCUAGAUCAGGAGAUGCCUGUAUUGCCGACUCACCCAUCCCCUCAUCAACGAGCUACACUUGACAAAUGAAUGGACGAAGAUAAUAGGGCUAGGAGCUAUAUUCUUACGUCCAUGUCCAAUAAUUUUCAACAUCUGCAUGAAGACAUGAGGACUGUCAGACAAAUUCUGACUAACCUACAAGAGUUGUAUGGUGAGUAGAGUCGUAUGGCUUGCUUAGAAGUCUCCUGCAGAUUUUUCAGAGUGAAAAUACAUGAUGGGUAGUCUGUGCACGAUCAUUAUCUGACAAUGAUCAAAGAUAUUGAAGAGCUUCAGAAGCUCGAAAUGAAUAUGGAUAAGGAACUACACGUAGAUUUGAUCAUGCAGUCCCUUCUUGAUUCGUAUGGUCAGUUCAUCAUAAACUACUAUAUGAAUAAGAUUGAUAGUACCUUAUCGGAGUUAUUGAAUAUGUUGGUGACAGCUGAGAGCAUCUUGAAAAGUUUAAGAAGAAUAAUUCUUACUGUGGAGCAAGCUUCUUCCAAAAAAAAGUCUACUGGAAAGAAGAAAAAGAACAAAAGCCUGUGAAGAAGCAAAAGAUCGAGAGUGGGAAGAAGAAAAAAACUCUAAAGAAAGCCAGCGAUAAGGAAAAAUAUUUUCACUAUAAUGUCGAAGGUCACUGGAGAAGAAUUGUCUUGCAUAUCUAGCCACAGUGAAGAAUAAGAAGAAGGAUGUGCCUUCUGAAGUUAUGCUUGAAUUGCUCGUUAUUAAAACUAAUCUAACGAUUUUCUCUUCUUCUAGUUGGAUUUUAGAUUCUGAUUCGAGUGCUCACUUGUGUACUUCAAUGCAGGGUCUAGAGAAAAUUAGAGGAUUGAGAGAAGGUGAGAUCACUCUCUAAGUCAGUAAUGGAGCAAAAAUUAUUGUUGUGGCCGUCGGGACUUACUCUUUGAAGCUACCGUUAGGAUAUAGUUUACUUUUGAAAAAUUAUUAUUUUAUACUUGUAGUCAGUAGAAAUUUGAUUUUCAUUUCUAUGCUGGUAUAGGAUAAUUAUAAUUUUUAUUUUAAUAAAGAUGUGUGUUCAAUUUAUUUUAAAAAUAAAAUUAUCACGUGUACUUAUUUGAUAGACAGUCUUUAUCAUUUGCAUGUUGAUGCGAGUUUUAACCAUAACGAGCAAAUUAUGAGUACCGUAUGGUCUAAGAGAUCUAGAGAUAAAAUUAGUCAAAAGUAUCUAUGGCACCUUAGGCUAGGUCAUAUUGGAGAGGAUAGACUUAAUAAAUUAGAAAAAAAUGAUCUUAUCGGGCCAUUAACUUUCGAGUCAUAUUCAGUUUGUGGGUCCUAUCUUCAAAGAAAGAUGGCUAAGCUGGUCUUUGUAGGACAAGAAGAAAGGGCCACUGAUAUAUUAGCCCCGGUACAUAUUGAUAUGUGUAGUCCAUUCGAUGUACAGACUUGAGAUGAUUAUAUCUACUUCAUAAUCUUUACUGAUGAUUACUCAUGAUAUGAUUUUGUGAAUUUGAUGCACCAUAAGUCUGAGACUUUUAAAAAAUUCAAAAAGUUCAAACAUAAAGUAGAGAAGCAAACCAAUAAAUCCAUAAAGAUUUUUCAAUCAGAUCGAUGAGGCGAAUAUCUUAGUAAAAAAUUUUGGAUCUAUCUUAAGGACAACGGUAUAGUCUCACAGUAGAUACCUCUAAGGAUGCCUCAGCUCAAUGAGGUAUCUGAAAGGAGGAAUCGGAUCUUAUUGGAUAUGAUCCGAUCUAUAAUGAGCUUUACAAAUUUUUUAAUUUUUCUCUGAAGAUAUACGUUACUUUCUGCUAUUCACCUUAUAAAUAGAAAUUUCUCUAAAUUCGUUUCUACCACACCAUACGAGUUAUGGUAUGGUAAAAAAUCGAGUCUUAGUUAUCUCAAGAUUUAAAAAUGUUCGAUCCAUGUCAAGCGACAGCAGGCGAACAAGUUAGAGGUUAGGUCACUUAAGACUCAUUUUAUAAGGUAUCCUAAAGAAUUCAUGAUGUACUAUUUCUAUCUUUCAGAUAAUCAUAAUGUGAUUAUGAGCCGUCAUGCCAUCUUCUUGAAAAAAGAGUUUAUUUAAGAUGAAGGCAGUGGGAGGAAGAUUGAGUUCGAAGAGAAGAUCUCUGAAGAGCAUCGAAUCCAAAAAUCUGAACCCAUUAGUGAGCCAGUUGAUGUGGUACCUCCUCCAUCUCAUAGAUCUAGUAGGAUCUUCCGUCCUCUCAAAAGGUACUUAAGUAUUUUUACAGAGGAUCUAGAGAAAGCAUUCUUUGUGGAAGAUAGUGAUAUUAGGAAUAAUCUUAAGACCUAUAAAGAAGUGAUGAUAGAUGUAGACUUCGAGAAAUAGAUGGAAGUGAUAAAGUCAGAAAUUGACUCCAUACAUUCCAACCAGAUUUGAAUUUUAGUAGAUCCAUCUGAGGGUAUUGUACCUAUUGGGUAUAAAUGGAUUUACAAAAAAAAAGAUCGGAUGAUCAGGUAGAGACCUAUCAGGCAAGGCUGGUAGCGAAAAUAUACAGUCAACGUAAAGAUAUUGACUAUCAAAAAAAAUUUUCAUCAGUAGCUAUGCUGAAAUCCAUCCGGACUCUGCUUGCUGCUGCAGCUUAUUACGAUUAUAAAAUUUGACAAAUGGAUGUGAAAACUGCCUUCCUAAAUGGAUAUCUUGAGAAAGAUAUCUAUGUAGAGCAGACUAUAAGUUUUACAUCCAAUGAUAGCGAUCACAAAGUCUGCAAGCUGUAAAGAUCUAUUUAUGCACUUAAGCAAGCAUCUCGAAGUUAAAAUUCCUACUUUAAUGAUGUGAUUAAAUUAUUUGAUUUCAUCAGAAAUGAGGAGCCGUAUAUAUAUAAAAAAGUCAGUGAGAGCACUGUCAUAUUCUUCGUAUUAUAUGUGGAUGACAUCCUUCUGAUUGAGAAUGAUAUUCCCAUGCUGACCUUGAUCAAAGUAUGAUUAUCAAAGAAAUUCUCUAUGAAAGAUCUGGAAAAAGCUUCCUACAUUCUUGGCAUAAAGAUCUAUAGGGAUAGAUCUAAGAGAAUGAUAGGACUUUCUUAAAAAAUAUACAUAGAGGAGGUGCUGAAGAGGUUCAGCAUGAAAAAUUCUAAGAGGAGUUUCUUGCCUUUAGGCAUGGCAUUUAUCUCUCUAAAAAGAUAUGUCCUGAUACACCUAAGGAGAUCCAACGCAUAAGCAAAAUCUUUUAUGCUUCGACAAUAGGGAGCUUCAUGUAUGUCAUGCUGUGUACUCAACCUGAUAUAGCACUUGUCGUGAAUGUCACGAGCAGAUAUCAGUCGAAUUUAGGUGAGGAGCACUGGAUUGCAAUUAAUAACAUUCUUAAGUACUUGAGAAGGACGAAGAAUUUAUUCUUGAUUUUUGAUGGAGGAUCGGAGCUGAAAGUUGAAGGAUACAUCGAUUCAAGCUUUAUGUCUAAUAUCGAUGAUAGAAAGUCUAUAUCGGAGUGUAUUUUUUUAUGUAAUGAUGGAUUGAUUAGUUGAAAGAGUUUCAAACAGUCGGUCAUUACUGAUUCGACCAUGAAAGCCGAAUACAUCGCCGCCUCUAAAGCUGCUAAGGAAGCAUACUGGCAUAAGAAGUUCGUUGCAGAGCUGGGUGUGAUACCAUCGGAUGCCAUUUCACUGCACUAUGAUAACAAUGGUGCCAUAGCACUCGCUAAGAAGAUCAAGUCUCACUAGAAGUCCAAGUAUAUAGAAUAGUGGUUCUAUAUCAUACGCGACUACCUCGAGAAGAAGUUCGUCGAAGUGCAGAGAGUCGACUCCAUACAGAACAUGACAGACCUGCUGACGAAGUCUCUUAGCCUGCAAAAGAUCGAAGCUCACCUUGAGAAGAUAAAUCUUAGGUAUAUGGUCAAUUGGCUUUAUGUCAAGUGAAAGUUUGUUAGAUGUGUGUCCUAGAAGUCAAUUGUUGGUUGACAUAUUUAUAUUUUCAGGGCCUACUCUUGUACUUGUAAAAUUUUAGUAUUAAUAAAAAGAUAUUUUUAUUUUCAAUCAUAUUUAUGUGUCCAUGAUUUAUCCUAAAAAUUAAUGAAAAUAAUUUUGUAUAUUCUCAAGGUAUUGAGAAUUUGAGACAUAAUUAUUAGUGGUUAGUUUCUAAAUACUUUUGAUCAUAGGAUCAUCACGGAGGAUAGUGAUCAAUCCAUUUAAGAUUGAUAUAUGGAUCACUUCCCUUUCAGACAGAUGAGUCUUGAGUCUAUGGUGUGGUGACACUAGAUGAGAGUGCAGGUGGUUGUUAGAGAACAACUUACACUGAGCGUGACCAAUAUGAGAAACUAUUUGAAUGUAUACUCACUCGUCAGUGGUCUUCUAGAUGCUGCAGUGGUGUGAGUGAUCUUUUGACCUGUAGUGUCAUCGGUUAUUCACAGCGAGGCUAUUAAGUUUGACUGCACAUUUUCUUGGUCCCUAGUCAUUUGGAUCCUUACUGUGUAUGUUAGCUACAGUAGGUUCAGAUUCACUAUUAGAGUAUGAUGCACUUUGAUGGAAUCUAUCGACUUCGAUAGAAAAGGAGUAGUCCUAUGCGAUUAGCAAGACUGAGUUCAGAAAGUCUUUGAUCAAAGUAAAUGUGAAUACUGGAAAAGAGUUUCCACAUGAUUCACAAGUGAAUUCAAGUUGAACCAAUCUGACAUAUGACUGACAAUAAGAUUUGAUGAGUUCUCCAUGAUCUCUGUCAAGUCGGGAUUCAUAAUAGAGGGAUUGAAUCACACAAUAACUGCACUUAGGGGUUCAAAUUUUUUUAUUCUACUGGGUUGCCACUACAUGCUGCUAGGCAUCACUAGUGGAUUGUGAGAACUCACUUAGAUUAUUUUUGAAUCAACGAUCCUUGUUGGGUUGAGCUGAAAUUAUUCUGGUCCAUCGAAAGAAGUUUUGAUGAUACUGUGAUAGAAAUCACGAUAUGUAUUACUAUCAGAUAGAAUAGAACCUGAGGGAUCACACACAAAAAGAGUUUAAUCUGAUCAACAGUUUGGAUCAAAUUUGAAUUAUCAAUUUGAUAGAUGAUUUGAAUUUGAAAACUGCUAAUUUGUAAAUGUUAUAAAUUUAGUAACUACUAAUUUUUAGUAUAGAAAUUUAAUUAUAAAUAUUAUAAUUUAAUUAAGAUAGAUUAAAUUAUGAAUCAAAUCUUAAUUAAUUUAAAUUAGAUUUAUUUUAAUUAGAUUUGAUUUAAUUUAAUGCUAAUUGGGUUCAAUUAUCCAAAUCAGAUUUGGAUUUUGAUCCUGAUUGGAUCAAGUUUGACAGCUUUUCGAAUUCGAUUCGAUUCGGACUCAAUUGGUACUUGAUUUGGAUCCAAUUUGAAUCAAAUUGAUCCUAACCCUUAAAACCCAGUUCUCUGGGCUUCUGUCUCCAUUUGGCCGAUCAAAAAUAGGAUGAGGCGAUGAAAAUUCUUGCUGAUUUUCUUUGGCACGCAUGAAGGGGUGUGGAGAGAUGGUUUCUUGAUGUUUCUUGAUUAGUUAGGACUCUUAUCUAGAUAAGAGAUAAAGCCUAACUAACCGAUCUAAUCCCUAUCUGAUUUUUGGUGCGAAAUAUUAAAAGUUUUGCACGGCAAAAUUAUAAGAAGGGAUUGGUUUUUGCGUGAGGCAGCGAUCCCUUCUUUGUGUGCGCCAAUAACUACCUCACGCCCCCUUCCUCCUCCAUGCCAACCACCUCUCAUCCCUUCUCUUCGGCACCCCUAUUCCACAUCAGAUAGAGAUCUGAGAGAUAGCCUUUGAGAGAGAGAGAGAGAGAAAGAAAAGCAAGAAAAGAUUUCUUGAUUUUUCUUGAUGGUUAGGAUCAAUCCUCAGGAUCUUAUAUAGGGUUGCUUCAAGUGAUAUCAAGUAAAGUGGUCUGAUUUAAGUCGAAGAAUGAAGCCUGCAUGAGAGCUAGCACCUCGAGAGUUUAGGAGUUUUGAUCGGGAUAUCUCUAUAUGGAUAUCAAUAAAAGCCGGGCGCUUGCAUGGCUACGAUAGAAAUUCAAAUAUCCGUAGGAUCCAAUCCGAAGAAGGAAGAGAAAAAAGUGAUCAGAUACACUAUCUUCUUGCUAUUUAUGAUUUCAAAUCUGUAUUCAUAAAUUUAUUUAUACAUUUUAGAUGAUCCUAAGAUUGAUUAUGAUUUAGAAUUAGCAUGUUUAGAUCAGAUUAAAAUUUUUAAAAUCUGCUUUCACCGUGGUUACUAUGAUCGUAACGAUUUAUGCAUGUGAAUCAGCUUGUUUUCUAAUAAUAUGGGCCUAGAUCGUUACUUAUGUAACGUACUGAAAUCACAAAGGCCUUCGUCAACUUUUUCAACAGGCUUUCAACAUUGCAGUAAUUUGCUCGAGAAAGCAACGCAUCCUUCCACAAGGUCUUUUGAAUUAUAAUAAUAGAAAUUCAAAGUAAAUAUUUUUUGACAAUUUAUAUUCAUAACAAGUAGAUAACUAUAUUUUUUAAAAAUAAAAAUAGUUUUUCUAAUAUGAAACUAUCUCGGGCCUAUUUCAGUUCUUUUUAAAUCUAGAACAAUUCUUGUCAAAUCUGAAAAGAUAGCAUUGUUGCCAUGAUUAUUGGUGCUAUCAAGUGACAUCAAACAUGAGAUGAAGCAUCGUUAAGCCAUAGAUGUUGGUUUUGAUCACGUUCCUACUUAUACCAUCAAAUCAAAAUCCCCUUGCACUCCAUUUCUUCCAUGUAAGCCAUCCCAUUCUUAUCUUAUUAAUUAUCUUCAAUUAAAUCUGGAUGGAUUGUGGGGCAUGGAAUAUAGAACACGAUGCAAGAUGGUUGCAUGUGUAUGAUCUAGGGAUUUCAUGUGCAUUUUUUAACAAAUUGGUCAAGUUAUUUAUUUUAAUCAACUCAUUAAAAAUUAAUUAAUAUGUAUGAACUUAGGUAUCUUAGUUAUUUCAUCUUUUUGCUUAUGUUGUUAAGUCGAAGAUAGAGGGUUGAAUUUUUUUAUAAUUUUUUUUAUAUUUUUACAUCAAUUUGAAAUUUUUAAACUUUUAGUAUCCAAACAUAAAGGGAUAAAAAUUCAAGAGGUGUUAUUAUAAUUUUUUUUUAAUUUAUUGUGUGUCUCUUUCGUCUCAAGAGCAUCUCAAGGACUUUUUGGAGUCAUAAUCGCAUCCAUAGACACCACAUUGACAAAGGUAAGCCACUACUUGGUGCUUUCUCCUUUAUUUUUUUUAAAAAAAAAAUAAUAUCCGAUCUAUUUAUGGACCAAAGUUCAAUUUUUAGUCUCUAUUGAUCCAACUUAUAACUUUCAGUCCAUUACAAAUGAAGCUUUAACUUUAAGUCUCUUAAUAAGACCAAAAUGCUAUCAAAUUGAAUACUCCUGUUCCGUGGCUUCUUUUCAGUUUUUUUCUUCUCGAUAAAAGCCUCGGGGAGAGCACAGCAAUGGCGCUCAGCACCCUCUUCCUGGUGCCUGAAUCUCCUCUUCUCCUCCCCAGCGAUCGCUCGUGAUGACCCCCCUCACCUCCCAGGCAAUCGCCCGCGAUAGCCUCCUCUCACCAUUUGGGCCGACGAUUUCAUAUUCUUUUUAUUUUGGGACGAAUGGAGGGGGUGGCCGGAGGUGGUGCGGGCAGCUAGACGAUCGAGAUAUGGUACCCGUGGCACGGAGCAACAGUAGGAGGGCGAUGCAGGUUGCCAGGGGCAACGCAGACGGGCGGUGCGGGUGGCCAGGGGGUAGCACCAGGGGCCACAGAGGGUCACCAUGUGGUACCGAAGGUGCGAUGAGGUGUGACGUACGCAAAGGAGCUUGAGGCCGUGGGAGGGGGGAGGGGGAAGUCUGUGGCGUGCGAGGGAACGAGAAGGAAGGAAAAAAAUAAAAAAUAAAAAUAAAAAUAAUACAAUAAUAAAAAUAAAUAUUAAACAAUAAUAAUCAUAUUUUAUUUAUUUCUUUAUUUAUAUUUUUAUAAUAUUUCUAGUGAGUCAUCCUUUCAAAAAAAUAUUUUAUAUAUUUUAUUUAUUUAUUUAUUUAUAUUUUUUAAAAUUAAUAAUUUAUUAAUAAAUAAUUUUUUUCAAAAAAUAGUUUUAAAAAUAAUUUCUAAAAAUACUUCUUUUUAAAAAUAAUUUUUAAAUAACUAAAAAUAAAAAAUAAAAUAAUAAAAUAAAAUAAAUUAUUUAAAAAUAAAUUAUUUUUUGUAAUAAAAAUNNNNNNNNNNNNNNNNNNNNAAUUAGAUUUUUAAAAUAAUAUAAAAUAUUAUUUUUUAAAAAAAUAAUUUUGAAAAAUAUGUGGGGAGCACUAGAGAGCGAUGGCCUAUGCUUUUAAAAUUAUUUUUUAAAUUAAUUUUUUUGACUAUAAUUUUUACCAUAAUUUUAAUUUAGUCAAUUUGAUGAGGAGUUGAUGUCAUAUAGAAGAGGUAUAAAUACAUCAUGUACCUUAGUCCAUGAUGAGUUUGAGUGUGCUCCCGUGGCUCUGUGUCAAACACCCACAACCCUCCUCCAGUGCCAAAGUCUGAGUUUGCUCCCUCGAUGAUUUCAAUAAUAAAUAAAAAUUAUUUUUUUAAAAUUAUUUUUAAAAAUAAUAAUAAAUUAACUAUGUGCAGUGUUAAAUUAAUGGUGUGCUGUGUUAAUUAAAUGAAUCCUACACAUAGUUAAUUUAACACUGCACACAGUUGAUUUAACUAUGUGCAGUGUUAAAUCAAGUGUGUGUAUGAUUUAUUUAACUAUGUACAGUGUUAAAUUAACUAUAUGUAAUGUUAAAUUAACUUUGUGCAGGGUUCAUUUAACUAUGUGCAGUGUUAAAUUAACUGUAUGCAAUGUUAAUUAAAUUAAUUAUGUGUAUGGUUCAUUUAACUGUGUGCAAUAUUAAAUUAAUUAUGUACAAAGUUAAUUUAACUGUGUGCAGUAUCAAAUUAAUUAUGUACAGAAUUAAAUAAACUAAUUAUGAUAUACAGUUUAAUUAAUAUGGUACAUAGUAAAUAAAUACUGUAUACAAUUAAAUUGAUACGGUAUACAGUUAACUAAACAUGGUACACAGUUUAAUUAACAUAGUACACAGUUAUUAAAUACGGUAUAAGUUAAAUGAAUACUAUACAUAGUUAAAUUAAUACGAUACAUAGUUAACUAAAUAUGGUAUAUAGUUAAAUUAAUAUGAUAUACAGUAAAUGAACACUAUACAUAAUUAAUUUAAUACUGCAUACAAUUAAUUUAAUGAUAUAUAUAGUUAAAUAAAUCCUGCACAUAGUUAAUUUAACACUGCAUAUAGUUAAUUUAAUACUACACACAGUUAAAUGAACCUUACACAUAGUUAUCGAAUUGUGUACAGUAUUAAAUUAACUGUGUACAGGAUUCAUUUAAUUAUGUGCAGUAUUAAAUUAACUAGAUGCAAGAUUUAUUUAACUAUGUGUAGUAUUAAAUUAACUAUAUACAACAUUAAAUUAACCGUGUGCAAGAUUUAUUUAACUAUGUGCAGUGUUAAAUUAACUAUGUAAAGAAUUCAUUUAACUAUAUGCAGUGUCAAAUUAAUUAUAUGCAGUAUUAAAUUAACUGUGUUCUGGAUUAAAUUAACUAGCUAUGAUAUACAGUUUAAUUAAUAUGGUAUAUGAUAAAUGAAUACUAUAUACAGUUAAAUUAAUACGGUACAUAGUUAACUAAAUAUAGUACAUAGUUAAAUUAACACAAUACACAGUUAAUUAAACAUGGUAUAUAGUUAAAUAAAUACUAUACACAGUUAAAUUAACACGGUACAUAGUAACUAAAUAUGGUAUAUAGUUAAAUUAAUACGGUAUACAUUAAAUAAAUAUUAUACAUAGUUAAAUAAAUAUAGUAUAUAGUUAAUUUAACACUACACACAGUUAAUUUAAUACUGUAUACGGUUAAAUAAACCCUGCACACACUUAAUUUAACAAUGUACACAGUCAAUUUAACACUGUAUACAGUUAAUUUAACACUGUAUAUAGUUAAAUGAACCCUAUACAUAGUUAAUUUAACACUGCACACAAUUGAUUUAACUGUGUGUAAUGUUAAAUUAACUAUGUACAGGGUUCAUUUAACUAUAUGCAGUACCAAAUUGACUGUGUGCAGUGUUAAAUUAACUAUAUACAUGAUUCAUUUAAUUAUGUAUAGUAUUAAAUUAACUAUGUGCAAUGUUAAAGUAACUGUGUAUAAUGUUAACUUAACUAUGUGCAAAAUUUAUUUAAUUAUAUGUAAUAUUAAAUUAACUGUGUAUAUUAUUAAAUUAACUAUGUAUCGUGUUCAUUUAACUGUGUACAGUAUUCAUUUACUGUGUCCCAUAUUAAUUUAACUGUGUAUCAUAUUUAGUUAACUAUAUACUAUAUUAAUUUAACUGUGUAUAGUAUUCAUUUAACUGUGUACUAUAUUUAACUAAUUAUGCACUAUGUUAAUUUAAUUGUAUAUCAUAUUUAGUUAACUGUAUACUGUAUUAAUUUAACUGUGUACAGUGUUCAUUUACUAUGCACCAUAUUAAUUAAACUGUGUAUCAUAAUUAGUUAACUAUGCAUUAUGUUAAUUUAACGAUCGUUUCAUCUGGUGAACAAGUGACUAUAAAGAAUAAUUUAAAUUUUAUAAUAUUUUAUUUUAUAAAAAUCGAUUGCAAAAUCGAUCAUUAAAAUCGAUAAUAUAAUCGAUUGCUAAAUUUAUUAAAAUAUUUUUUUAAUAAAUCGAUCGUAAAAAUAAUUACUAAUUAUUUUUAAAUUUUUUACUAAUAAAAUUGAUCACAAAAUCGAUCAAUAAUUAUUCUUAAUUUUUAAAUUAAUUUAUUGGUCAUAAUAUCGAUUGCUAAUUUUGUUAAAAUAUUUUUUUAUUAAUAAAAUCGAUUGUAAAAUCAGUAGCUAAUUAUUUUUUAAUUUUUUAAUUAAAAAAUCGAUCGCAAAAUCAGAUGCAAUUUAUUUUUAUAAUAUUUUAAUUUUUCAAAAUCGAUUGCAAAACCAAUCAAAUUUUUAUUUUAUAUUUUUCUUAUGCUUAUAUUAUUUUUUUAUUAUAUUAUUUUUAUUUGUUAUAUUUUUUUUUAUUAUUGAAAAUAUUUUUUAUUUUUUUAUAUUAUUUUUUAUAUAUUAUAUAUUUUUAUUAUUUAUUAUAUUUUUAAUUUUUUUAUAUAUUUUAUUAUUUAAAAUAAAAUCUCAUUCGAUCCGUGGAGCGAGGCAUGGAUCGAAGGGCGUUUCCAGUCCGUUUCUCAUGUUUCAUGAUCCUCUCUGUGGACCGACAAAGGCUGAUGCCGGUGACAACGGAGAGCACGGCGAAUGGAGGCCAUCGCGGGCGGUUGCUGAAGAGGGAAAGAGGGGUUCGAGCAUUAGGGAGGGGGGCCGUCGCAUCGUGGGCCGACGAAGAAGGCCAUCGCGGGCGGUCGUCGAGGAGGGGGGGCCAUCGUAGGCGAGGAGAGAGUCCGUCACAGUCGGUCGUUGGAGAGGGGAAGAGGGAUUUCGAGCACCUGGAAGGGGAGGAGGGCCAUCACAUCACGGGCUUGUGAGGGGAGGCCAUCGCGGGCAGUCGUCGGGAAUGGGAAGGCGGGCCAAGGAGGGGAGAAGAUAGGGUUCGGAUGCAGCACCAAUUGGGAGUCUUUCUUCGUCUUGUCUUCUUUUUUUUUUUUGACUGUCUGAUGGGGUUUGGGAUUUGAAAGGGUAUUAUUUAAAGCCAUCUCGUAUCAAAAUUAUUAAGGCACGGUAAGUGGGACCGAGAGCUACAGUUUUGAUCAAUAGAGAGUUUUUGUUAUAGCGGCAUCAAUCGAGGGAUCGGUAUUUUUUUUUUUCUUCUCCCAUUUUGCAGACAUUCUUUAGCCUUUAUUGCUUGGCCGGUAGAUGGAUGCAUAUACUCCUAGCUCCUCGCCUUUCUGAUGCAAUUCCAUUUCAAAAAUGAUAGGCGUCCUUCAUGUGUUUCGAAAUCUUGGUCUCAUGAUCUCUUAUCCAGCUAUCAGCCCUCAUUAGCACUGAAAUAGCAUGGGCAGGACGGAGCUGGCCGACCUUACGUGGCUUUUUUUACAUUAGUUUGGCAAAUGGACCAAACCUCUCUUAGGACAAAGAAACUUUUUAUUUCCAAGUUGUUGCCAGCUCAUGUAGCUUAAGCACAUGGUAAAUUUUAAUAGACCCAAAAGAACUUGAUAGAGAAUCUGUUUACAUUUUAAACCAACCUCCCUGGAUUUGGAGCAAUUAGGCAGCGCAGGUGAGGGCUGUGAAAAAUUGUCCGGUUAUAAUGCAGAUAAUUUGCACUCAAUUUUUAGGCAUCUUUAGAUAGUUCUAGGAGGUCCAUCCAAAUUAGUAGCUAUAAGCGAAGUGCAGCAAUUUGAUUCAGGUUGUAUCUUUCGGAUGAAAGAAUAAUUGAUAUUGUUCCUUCGUAGAUCGCAUAGAUCUCUUUUUUUUUAUGAAAUCACCUCACAUAGAUCUUACGGUGCUCUGAAUUUUUUUCAUCCACUUAUGCAAUGCUUGAAGUAGCUAGCUAUUGUGUGAUCUAAUAAUUGACAUCACGAAAUAAGGUGGAUCUGUCUUUCUCAUUCGCAUUGAGGAUUUUGCAUGUGCAUGCAGGUAUUUUUUUUUUUUUUUNUUUUUGUCGGUACNNNNNNNNNNNNNNNNNNNNNNNNNNNNNNNNNNNNNNNNNNNNNNNUUUUUUGUUUUUCGGUACAUUAGUUCUCUCUUUUUUUUUUUAUUGAAAUAAGAAUGCGUCAGGAAAUCAUAUUAAAGUCCAAAAGAGAACUACACCCGCAUAUGGGAGAAAUUCCCCGGGACCUUGAUGACCAUAAUGAGCUACUUUUACAAAGUUCCGAUUUCAGAAAAGGAGAUACAUGUAAAUAUAUAUUAUCAGACGUCGACGCUGCACGUGGAGAUCUGCUGGAACUUGAUGCCCUUCCCGGACUCGCGAGAAAGAAAGGCCGGGCACGUGACGAAGAGGUCGUGGUGACCGGAGACCCAGAAACCCAUCUUCCACCGGAUCCGGCCCUCGAUCUUGACGUGGACUAGGAGGAAGCCGGACGACUGGUCCUGGGCGAUAGCCUCGGCGAGGUGGGGCGCCACCGGGACGCAGACGGCGUAGAGGAACGGUGACCAGAGGUCGACGUCGUUCUGGCCCUGGUAAAAGGGAGGGAUGGCGGUGGCGGGGGUGAUCUGCUGGUACUUAUAGGAGGUGAAGACGUCGACGCGGUCGUAGUAGAUGCCGACGCGGGCGUUGGGGUUGCGGGUGGAGAUGGUUACUCGGAUGGUGGUGGAGAGGAGGUUGUCCGGGGAGGAGACGUUGAAGGCGUAGACGGAGGCGUCCUGGAGGUAGAACUUGGGCUUGGUGGGGCGGAGGGCGAGCCAGAUGAUGAGGAUGAUGAGGAGGUUCAGUAUGAUGAAGGCCAGGAUCCCGGCCGAGAUGAGGUAGACCUUGCGACGUCGCUUGCACCCUCCGUGCUGGCCGCAGUCCGUCGCCAACGACAUGCUGCUGUUUGAGCUCGUGGGAAUGGGAGUGGGAGAGGAGAGAUGGAUGCAAGAGAAAGUAAUGCAGCAGGGGAGUUGGGAUGGCAACGGUGAUGCUUGGUGUAUUUAUAAUGGUAUCUCGUUUCUACUAACCACAUGCCUUCUCUUAGGAAGAGGGACAGUGGAUCAUGGCUAGCAGGUUGGAGGAUAUAAAAUAUUUUGGAUUGAGGGAUACCCGGGGGAUGUACGAUAAGUUUAUGGGGAUUGGAUGCUUUCAGGGAAGGCUGUGAGCGCACAGCGAGCGGCAGCUCAUGUUGGGGGACAAAAUAUAGGCUGCGUGUGCGCCCAAGAAGAAGGAUGUUCCAAAGAAUUUCUUUGAUGGAUAAAACCAAUGUCACAUUAAUAUUUUGAGCUGCAACCGCCUCAGCAUUUGUAAAAUUUUUAAAUUCAAAAUAUUGAUAUAAUAUUUUUUUAAAAAUUUUUUUUACCGACGGCCGCAAUGAAUUACUUUGAGAUUUAUGUAGAUCGAUGAAUCAUGAAAUCUGGAAUGGGUGAUCCAACAGCCGGUUCGUGCGAAGGAAGGUGAAUCCUUUUUUUCAUGCGAAAGAUGCAACCCUGCUCCCAAAAUAUAAUAUAAUAUAAUGUACGAAGAAGAAAGGCUAGUUUGAAAAGAUAACUCAAUUUUGGGAAUGGGAACUAACUUAUUUAUUUAUUUACAGCUAAUAUUGACUAGUUACAAUGUUAAUUGUACGGCAUGUGAAGGUCAACAAGUUAAUUGGAUCUUUGACUGAUGUAGAUCGACGAGAGGUCAAUUUGCACUCAACUUUUAGGCGUCCACGGAUAGCCUUAGGAGACCCAUCCAAAUUGAUCGCUCCAAACGAAGUUUUGCAAUCGGGCUCGGAUUGUAUCUUUCGCAUGAGAGAUGCUUGCGGGUAUGAUGGUAGCCCAGCAUGACAAUUAGCAUUGUUGGGCUUUGGCCUUUUUGUUUCUUCAGAAGAUCAAAAUAUCGGACCCCAAGAAGUGGUCAUGCGAUUCGUUUUAGGUAAGCAAAAGGGGACCAUAUGGGCCUAGGUCGUUGCUUAUGUAACAUACUGAAAUGACCGAGGCCUUCAUCAACCUUCUCAAUAAGCUUUCAACAAUGAAGUAAUUUGCUCGAAAAAGCUAUGCAUCCUUCCACAAGGUCUUUUGCAUUAUAAUAAUAAAAAUUCUAAGUAAAUGUUUUUUGACAAAUUUAUAUUUCUAACAAGUAGAUAACCGUAUAUUUUUUAAAAUAAGAUAAUUUUUCUAAUAUGAAACUUUCUAGAGCCCACUUCAGUUCUUCCUUUUAUUCAUCUUGGUUGAUAUUUAAUAGAUCUUUUUAAAUCUACGAGUAUAAGCUUGUGUGUAUAUCUAGUUUUUUUUUUUUCUUUACUUUUUUUGAUGUAAGUUUGUAUCUUUUUACUUAAUCAAAUGAUAUCUUCUUUAAUCAAAGGAUAGUUGCAAAUUAUGGAGUAGUAUUGGACCACCAAGCAUGCCAACGAAUGAAAUAAUUACUUACACAUAAUUUAUUCCUUUGUUCUAUAGCAAGUCAAGGAAGUCUAUUAAAAGUGAGCUAGCUGAUUCUUGCAUUGAUGGAAAAUCAUAUAAAUAAAUAUUAAAAGCCUUUUUUUAUACAAGGUUUUUGCUUUUAUGGUUUACUUGGUUAUAGGUCCUCCUCAAAGAAUGUGUCAUGUAUUCUAAUGAUGAUACCUUUUUUUUAGACAAAAAUGUGUUCCCCAUAACUUCAUUUCAUGAGAUAAGGAAUGAAUAUAGAAAAUUACAUAGAACAAGGAGAUUUAAACUCAGUUCAAUCAUUUAUAUACCACAAAAAUAGCACAAACAGACUUCUCAUUUUGGUACAAGUUUAGUGCCACAAAUGGUGCACACAAAACCUUUGAUCAGAAACCAACGAGAGAGAGUACUGUCCAUAUUGUGCAACUUUGGCCCAUGUAUGGGCUAUUAUGCCUAAAUAAAACCAACCAAUCAAGUACCCAUUUGGCCCUAUGCACACUGACCUAACCAGAAAGCAAACCUGCUUAAGCCUUCAUGCCAAGCCUGCGAACAGAUCUUGUCAAAUCUGAAAACAUAGAAUUGUUGCCAUGAUUAUUGCUGCUAUCAAGUGAUAUGAAACAUGAGAUGAAGCAUCAUUAAGCCAGAGAUGUUGAUUGUGAUCACGUUCCCACCUAUACCAUCGAAUCAAAAUCCUCUUGCACUCCACUUCUACUGUAUGAGUUAUCCCCUUUCUAUCUUGUUAAUUAUCUUUAGUUAAAUCCAGAUAGAUUGUGGGGCAUGGAAUAUAGAGUACGGUGCAAGAUUGUGACGUGUGCAUGAUCUGGGAACUUGUUUUGGAUUUUUUAACAAGUUGGUCAAGUCACUUUUUUUACAAACUCAUUAAAAAUUAGUUGAUAUAUGUGAACUAAGGGUAUUUUAAUUAUUUUAUCUUUUCUAUUAAUGUUGUAAAGUCGGAUGAUUAUGCCUCUUUACAAUUUUUUUAAAAUUUUUAGGGUCUAUUUGAAAUUUUUAAAUUUUUGGGAUCCCAAUGCAAAUGGAUGAAAAUUCAAGAGGUAUUGCUGUAAUUUUUUUCUUUAAUUUAUUUUGUGUCUUUUGCAUCUCAAGAGUAUCUUAUAGACCAUUUGGAGUCAUAAUUGCAUCCAUAGUCACCACUUUGAUAAAGAUAAGCUCCUACUCGGUGCUUUCUCCUCCUCUUCUUCUUUUUUUUUUUUUUUUUUUGUCUUCCUCCUUUUUGUAGACAUUCUUUAGCCUUUAUUGCUUGAGAUGACUGGUGGCUGGAUGCAUAUACCCUUCGGUCCUCGCCUUUCUGAUGCAAUUCCAUUUCAAAAAGAUAGGCGUCUUUUAUACAUGUGUUUCGAAAUCUUGGUCUUAGGAUCUCUUAUCUAGGUAUCAGCCCUCAUUAGCAUUGAAAUAGCAUGGGCAAGACAGAGCUGGCCGACCUUAUAUGGUUUUUUUUACUUAAGUUUGGAAAGUAGACCAAACCUCUUUUAGGACAAAGAAAUUUUUAUUUUUGCAAGCUCAUAUAGCUUAAGCACAUGGUAAAUUUUGAUAGAAACAUCUUAAAUCAACCUCCCUGUUUACAUUUUUUUUUUCUUUGUAAGCUUGCUGCCCAAGUGAUUCUUAAUCCAAAUUCAUUAUGGGUGAAGUUGAUGCAUGCUAAAUAUAAAUUCUCAAGUGAUUGGUAUAGCCAUAGAUGACCACGAAGAUGCUCUCCCAUGUGUGGACCACUGGUUCAACCUCAUUUUAUUUGGGCUGUGGGGAAUGGCUCUAGCAUAAAGGUGUUGAAGGACCGUUGGCUAUCAUCUAUCCCUUUUUUACUGUGGCCUCUUCUCUAAAUAUGAAUGAAUAUUAUCGGGAUUUCUAUGUGCAGGGCCUCAUUGACCAGGACCAUGGUUGGAAUCAGACCUUGUUAAGGUUCUUAUUCCCAACUACCAUAGUUGAAUGGUAGUUGUUUUCAAGAGCAAAAGACCCCCAAGGGGUCGAGCGAGAAGGAGCUUAUUGCCAUGGCCUCUUUAUACACCAAUUGCAGUAUAUCAAGUACUCCUCAGCCAUUCUCCGUAAGAAUGUGCCGAACAAAGCUACUAAACCUUAUUUUGUGUUUUGUUAUCAUAUUUUGGCUUCAUUCAUCUUUGCAGUUAAUGGUUCAGCACACCUAGUUUUGUAUCUACCACAGGUUGCUGCAUGUUCCAUUUGUAUACUCUCCUACAUCUACCUCUACGUAUACUCUUAUAUUCUUCUCGCCUCUGGCUCCUUUGUUUUACACGCACACCGCCCACCACCCACCCCAAACCCACCCCCCCCCCCCUCCCCUCCAAAAAAAAAAAGGAGAAAAGGUAGCACAAGCGUGGGCUAUGAAAAAUUGUCCGAUUAUAAUAUAGAUAAUUUGCACUCAAUUUUUAGGCAUCUUUAGAUAGUUCUAAAAGGCCGAUCUAAAUUGGUCGCUAUAAACGAAGUAUAGCAAUUUGAUUGGGGUUGUAUCUUUAGGGUGAAAGAAUAAUUGAUGUUCUUUCAUAGCAAUGACGCAAUCACGUUGAGGAUGUUGCAUGGGCAUGCAAGAAUUUUUUUUUUUUUAAUGGUGCAUUAGUUUCCAUUUUUCAUUGAAAUAAGAAUGCGUAGAGGAAGUCAAACCAAAGUCCACCAGAGAACUACACCCAUGCAUGGGAGAAAUUCCCCAUGAACUACUUUUUACGAAGUUCCGAUUUUAGAAAACGAGAUGUAUAAAUAUAUAUUGUCAGACGUCAACGUUACACGUGGAGAUCUGCUGGAACUUGAUGACCGUCGGGUCGCCGACGCCGUUCCCGGACUGGCAGGAAAGAAAGGCCGGGCAGGUGACGAAGAGGUCGUAGUGACCGGAGACCCAGAAGCCCGUCUUCCAACGGAUCCGGCCCUCGAUCUUGACGCGGACGAGGAGGAAGCCGGAGGACUGGUCCUGGGAGAUAGCCUCGGCGAGGUAGGGCGCCACCGGGACGGAGACGCCGUAGAGGUACGGUGACCAGACGUCGACGUCGUUCUGGCCCUGGUAAAACGGAGGGACGGCGGUGGCGGGUGUGAUCUGCUGGUACUUAUAGGAGGCGAAGACGUCGACGCGGUCGUAGUAGAUGCCGACGCGGGCGUUGGGGUUGCGGGUGGUGAUGGUUACCUGGAUGGUGGUGGAGAGGAGGUUGUUCGGGGAGGAGACGUUGAAGGCGUAGACGGAGGCGUCCUGGAGGUCGAACUUGGGCUUGGUGGGGCGGAGGGCGAGCCAGAUGAUGAGGAUGAUGAGGAGGUUCAGUAUGAUGAAGACCAGGAUCCAGGCCAAGAUGCGGCAGCGCUUGCGUCGCUUGCAACAGUCGUCGUGGCAGCACCCGCCGUGGUGGCCGCAGUCGCACUUCAAGUUCCACCACGACAUGCUGCUGUUUGAGCUCGUGGGGCGAGGAACUGGAGUGGGAGAGACGCAAGAGAAACUAAUGCAGGGGAGAUGGGAUGGCCACGGCGAUGCUUGGUCUAUGUGUAUUUAUAAUGGUGUCUCGUUUCUACCAACCACAUGCCUUCCCUUAGGAAGAGGGGCAGUAGAUAUCAUGGCUAGCAGGUUGGAGGAUAUAAAAUAUUUUGGAUUGAGGGAUACAAGGGGAUGAUAAGUUUAUGGGGAUUGGACGCUUUCAGGGAAGGCUGUAAGUGCACAGCAAGCGGCAGCACACCUUCGGGGACAAAAUAUAGGCUGUGGGCGCAAGAAGAAGGAUGUUACAAAGGAAUUCUUUGAUGGAUAAAAUAAAUAAAAAAAUAUCACAUCAACAUUUUGAGCUGCAACGGCCUCAGCAUAAACCUCCGGUGAUUGCAAAAUUUUUCAAUUCAAAAUAGUACUUAUCACACAUCCGAUCCGAGAUCGAGAAUCGAGAGUCGCGACAACCGCCGCAUAUUCAUAAAGAACUCUCUCCAUAAACAUGCAAGACAUCUCAUCACGAUAUCAAUACAUCACAACGAAAUAAAUUCAAGUAAUUAUUAUUCAACUGUAAUUCAAAUAAUUAAAUCAAAUGUCUUACAUCCAAUAAAAUUUUUUCACUAACAAUAAAACAAUAGAUCUAAGUUCAAUUGAAGUUGACAACGUUAAAUCUCGCCUCUAAAGUUCUGUCCCAAUAUUUUUUCUCACGCUCGAAAUUAAUUAUCUGAAUCUGAAAAAUAGAAGGAAAGGUAAUGAGCUAGACAGCCCAGUAAGUAACAAAUAUCUCAACUAGAUAAUUCAGAUAUUAUAUAAUUUUCAAGAAUAAUGCUGUAAAUAAACAUAGGAAUAUAUUUCAUGCUGAUUUAAUACAAAUCAAUUAUUUUCAAAUAUUCACAUAUAAUAUAAUCAUAAAUCUGAUUCGAUUCAAAACACUCGUAACUCAACAGCCUCGACUAUGACCAACAUUUAACCCCCAUUAGCGGGGUCCACAGAAUACCAGCGCACAACCCCCACUGGCAGGGUCCACAAAUAUCAGCGCACAACCCUCACUGGCAGGGUCCACAAACACCAGUGCACAACCCCCACUGGCAGGGUCCACUGAGUACCAACGUAUAAUCCCCAUUGGCGGGGUCCACUGAAACAUAGUUAGGCUGAGAGCAUAAAUCCGAUCUGUAUCAAAACACUUUGAAUCAUAAUAUAUCAUAAUUUUUCACUGAAUAUGUGCAUAAUUCGAUGUACCAUAAUAUUUCAAAAGUACUUUUCUUUCAAAAUAUAAUUUCAUAAAUCAUGCAUAAUUUUCAGAGAAUAAUUAUUUAUUUUCAGAAUAAAUAUGGAAUAUCUCGAGAAGAUGAUUUAUUACUUACCUUUCACGGAGCACUGAACGAAUAGAUCGACUAACUUCUAGUAGAUUCUUCCACGCCUANNNNNNNNNNNNNNNNNNNNNNNNNNNNNNNNNNNNNNNNNNNNNNNNNNNNNNNNNNNNNNNNNNNNNNNNNNNNNNNNNNNNNNNNNNNNNNNNNNNNNNNNNNNNNNNNNNNNNNNNNNNNNNNNNNNNNNNNNNNNNNNNNNNNNNNNNNNNNNNNNNNNNNNNNNNNNNNNNNNNNNNNNNNNNNNNNNNNNNNNNNNNNNNNNNNNNNNNNNNNNNNNNNNNNNNNNNNNNNNNNNNNNNNNNNNNNNNNNNNNNNNNNNNNNNNNNNNNNNNNNNNNNNNNNNNNNNNNNNNNNNNNNNNNNNNNNNNNNNNNNNNNNNNNNNNNNNNNNNNNNNNNNNNNNNNNNNNNNNNNNNNNNNNNNNNNNNNNNNNNNNNNNNNNNNNNNNNNNNNNNNNNNNNNNNNNNNNNNNNNNNNNNNNNNNNNNNNNNNNNNNNNNNNNNNNNNNNNNNNNNNNNNNNNNNNNNNNNNNNNNNNNNNNNNNNNNNNNNNNNNNNNNNNNNNNNNNNNNNNNNNNNNNNNNNNNNNNNNNNNNNNNNNNNNNNNNNNNNNNNNNNNNNNNNNNNNNNNNNNNNNNNNNNNNNNNNNNNNNNNNNNNNNNNNNNNNNNNNNNNNNNNNNNNNNNNNNNNNNNNNNNNNNNNNAGUUUUUAUCCUAUUAUUUUUUUGGGCUUGUUUCUUAGGUUUUGGGCUAUCACAGUACUGCUGUAGUAUUCUUUUUAUUCGCUUUGUCUACGGCCAAUAUGAAUCACUUUGAGAUUAAUACAGGUUGAUGAAUCAUGAAAUUUGGAGUGCUUUCAGGUCUGCUGGUGGGUAAUCCAACGGUUGGUUCGUGCGAGGGAGGUUGAAUCCUUCUUUCACGCGAAAGAUGCAACCCGGUCCCCAAAAUAUAAUAUUAUAUAGGAAGAAGAAAGUCUAGUUUGAAAAGAUAUCCCUACUUCGAGAAUGGGAACUAAUUUAUUUAUUUAGUUACACCUAACGUUGACUAGCUGUAAAAUUUAUUGUACGGUAUGUUGAGGUCAAUAAGCCAGAGCGGUAAAUCAGAUCUGCUGCAUUUAAGGUUGAAAAUGGGCUCUGGCCCGGCUGCACAUCAAAUUUCAGACUUGACCAGAAUAAAAUCAGAUCAGAUCUGGACUUGGAUAUGAACUCUAUUUCAUUUUCGGACUGAGCUUGGGUCUAUCAUUAGUCUAGUUUGGGCUCAGCCCGGGGUCGAGCCCGUCUACUAGUCUGAUCUUAGCCCGAAAUUCAAGCUCAAGCCCAAGGUUCAAAUAUAAUCUUUUAUUAUAUAAAUGAUGGCUGAGCUUGGCCAUCUAACUCAAAUUAGACUCAAGACUCCAGACUCUCUCCAUCCAUAGCUCAUCCUUGGCUUAAUAAAUAGCAGCUCUUUUUUCCCAAAAGUAAGAUCUUCGUCCUCUUCCUCUAAACCCUAACCUCCCCUUUUUCAUGGAAGACAAUGAUGACGUCCGCUCCGAGUCUCAGUCCAAGUCACCAUCACAAUCCCAAUCCCUACCACUGUCGCUGCUGACACACCCCCAUCUCUGUAGUGGCACCCUUCUCUAUCGCCACCCUCCUCUACCGCCACUGCCACCUCCCACUUCAAUGGUCGCGUCACUAUCGAGCCUGUCACCGUUGCUGCCCCUCCCCAGCACACCCUAACUUUGGCCCUCCCCAUCCAGUGAUCCUUUGGCGACGGCGGCGGCAACGGCAUCUGCCGCGAGGAUUGCUAGGGUGAGGGUGCCACCUCAAUCUUGAUCAACGCAUGGGGCGAGUGAUACUUGGAGCUCAACUAGAGGAAUCACCUCGAGUUGCGACAGCUACAGGAAAAUCCCCAAAACUAACAUGUAAUACACAUGAAUGAAACUGGCGUAGAAGUAGGAGACAGCGAGCAAGUUGAGAGGAACGGAAAGGAGAGGGAUCAUAAUCGGGAGAGGGAUAGGAAGUGUGACAGGUUCAGGGAGCACGAGAGAGAGAGAGAGAGAGGAAGAGGGAGUGGGAGUGCUCGGGAGCAGGAGUCGCUCAAAAGAGGUAUGGAAAUUUUAAGAGAGGGAGAAAGAAAGGAGAGAGAAACAGAGAGGGAGAGGAUUUGGGCCAAAUCUCAGGCUCAGGUUUGGAUCUUAAAUUUUAUAAUAUUUUCAAGCUUAAACCCAGUCUGAAAUCUGAAAAAAUAUUUUGGAUCAGGCUCGAAUAGAAGUGUGGCCCAAUCCAAUCCGAUCCGUUUCCAAUAAUGUCCCCAUUGCACUGUAGGCAUGCUCAUUCGAGAAUGACUGGGUCUUUUGAUCACAACCAUUGGAUCUUAAUUUCAUGGAUGGACAGAUGUAGAUCACACAAAGGCAUCAAAAAAUUUGGUUAGGAGUCACUAUCUGGAUCGUUAGUUGGCAAGCGAUGGUCUGCCUCUGGUCAGAAAAAAAGUAGGCCUCAUUCAAUUUGCACUCAAUUUUUCGGUGUCUUCGGAUAGCCUUUGAACACCGAUCCAAAUUGGUCGCUAUAAACGGGCAUGGGUCGUAUCUUCGGCAUGAGAGAAUGAUUGACCUUUCUUCUCUUCAUGACAUCAACCAUUCUAUUGUAUCUUAUACAGCUCUUAAAGCACACCAAACUCUCUCUUUUAUUGCGUAGAUAUUGUAGUAAUUGUUGUGCGAUCAAAUGAUGCAUAUUGCGGAAAAGAUGAAUCAUUCUUGGGCAUAAAAGAUACUUCCAAACUUGUACAAUAAUUAAAUUCAGAUUGCAUAUUGCAAAUGAAAGAAUGAUUGGUGUCCUUUCACAAUAUGGAUCACACAUAUCUCAAAGCAUUCUGAGUUUUUUCAUCCACCUCUAUGGAUCUUGAAAUGGUCAUUACGCAAUCCACCUGGUUGACAUCAGAACAACAACAACAAAAAGAAAAAAAAAAAGAAAAGAAAAGAAAACCUCUUUUCCAACAAAAGAUACAACCCGAACAUGAAGCAACCACUCCGGGAUGCUGCAUGUGCGUCCAGUAAUUUUUUUUUUUUAAUUAACCGAAAAUGGAGGAACCACAUAGUUCCUCCUUUAUUUUGUUUGUACAUUAGUUCCCCUUUUUAUUGAAAUAAGAAUGCGUUCAGUAAAUCAUAACAAAGUCCAAAAGAGAACUAGACCCACAUAUAUAUGGGGUGUCCCCUCCCCUGUAAAUAGACGAUCCCCAUGACCUUAAUGAACUACUUUUACAAAGCUCCAAUCUAACAUGAUUGCGUAAUUCACAAUUAACUUGCAAUUACAUGAAUACACGUGAAAAAAGAAAAAUCUAACCCUCUUCUCUCCUCAUCCAACCCCGGAAAUUCCACCGUUUCAGAAAUAAGAGAAGGACCCGGGGACCGCUCACCGGCGUCGAAGAUAUAUAGAUAUUAUCAGACGUCGACGCUGCAGGUGGAGAUCUGCUGGAACUUGAUGACCGGCGGGUCGCCGACGCCCUUCCCCGACUCGAAAGAAAGAAAGGCCGGGCAGGUGACGAAGAGGUGGUAGUGACCGGAGACCCAGGAGCCCACCUUCCACCGGAUCCGGCCGUCGAUCUUGACGUGGACGAGGAUGAAACCAGAGGACUGGUCCUGGGAGAUAGCCUCGGCGAGGUAAGGCGCGACGGGGACGGAGACGCCGCAGAGGUACGGUGACCAGAGGUCGACGUCGUUGUGACCCUGGUAAAAGGGAGGGACGGCGGUGGCGGGGGUGAUCUGCUGGUAUUUGUAGGAGGCGAAGACGUCGAUGCGGUCGUAGUAGAUGCCGACGCGGUCGUUGGGGUUGCGGGUGGAGAUGGUGACCUGGAUGGUGGAGGAGAGGAGGUUGUCCGGGGAGGAGACGUUGAAGGCGUAGACGGAGGCGUCCUGGAGGUAGAAUUUGGGCUUGGUGGGGCGGAGGACGAGCCAGAUGAUGAGGAUGAUGAGGAGGAUGAGGAUGAUGAAGGCCAGGAUCCAGGCGAAGAUGACGCGGUAGAGCCUGCGCCGCUUGCAGCAGUCGUCGUCGCAGCAGCCGCUCACCUUGCACGAC
rnacentral:lncRNA from 1 species